ensembl:lincRNA
AUGCCCGAGGAGGGCUCUGUGGGCAGGGCUGGGGGGCCGGCAGGAUUGAGGUGUGGCGGCCCCUUCCCUGCUCUGCUCCCACCCAGGCAGACUGGUCUCCGGCCUGGACCAAGGGAGACCCUUCGCCUUGUCCUGCUUCACUCCUGCUCACUGCUCGCGAGCCCCCACGCUGCCCACGGCCUGGGUGGGCUUUCUGUUGCACCGCGGCUCUCACAGGUGGGUCCCGCACCAGCAGCGUCCCCUGGGAGGGGGUCAGAGAUGCUCGUUCCCAGGCCCCUCCCGGGCCUGCGGGCUCAGAACCCCGGGCGGGAGCAGGUACUCUGGGGCUUCCUCCGCAUUCGCGGGUUUGAGAAGGGCGCCCCGCACAGGUUGUACCAGCCGCACGGCGGGACCCGCGGGCAUUCCCGAGCGCUCACUGCGGGUGGGAGCCCGCUCAGGGCUCUGCAUCACAGGAGCAGACAGACAGAUGAGGUGUGUGUCCCCGUUUCCCAGGGGGACAGAGGCGCAGCCCCUCCCUCGGGGGCCCAGCGCGCCCUCCCGCCCGGAGCGGGGCGCCGCCCCCCNNNNNNNNNNNNNNNNNNNNNNNNNNNNNNNNNNNNNNNNNNNNNNNNNNNNNNNNNNNNNNNNNNNNNNCGCUGCCCCCUCCCCGCUGCCCCCGCGCCGACCUUCACCCGCGUGGCUCAGCGGGAUGGCUUUCGGGCGGCAUUUUGUCUCCCACGCAGCCGGGAGAGACAGCCCCACGCCGCCGCCUCAGUGUCGCAGGCAUUUAAAUUGCCGUUUUAUUUAAAUUUAUGUCCGAGGAUACAGGCGGAGAAAGGGCCAUUUCAAAGUCAGUUUCUGUUUUAUGGCUUUAUGGGGGAUCGCAUCGGGCAGCUGCCACCGGUACCUCGCUGCUCCCAGCACUGCGGAGGAUCACGUGGCUCCGGCUGUUCGGGAAGAAAUCCCCUCUCUCGUCUCUCAGCUGCGGAGCUCUCACUGAGCCUCGUCCUUCCCCCAGACUCAGCCCUGACGCUGGUCUCAGGCUGGGCCCUCCUACCUUCCGACCCUAGUUCCAGACCCAGCCCUGAUCCCGGCCCAGACUCAGCCCCAACCUGGUGUCGCUUCCUUUAUGAAGUCAUGCCUUUGCUUAGGAGGAGCAGACCCAGCGGCCAGGACAUCUGCAAGGCCGUGAAUGAGUGGGCCUGGCCCAGGCUGUGGGGUUCCGUCCUCUGACCUCCUGAGCAGCUGGAUCGGAGCCAGAGUGGACAUCCUUGUCAGGCACAGGACACGGUUGUCGGCAGGGACUGUGCUAGGCCCACGACUGUCUCGGGCUGACUCUGGGGAGCAGGGGAGCCCAGGUGCCCCAUCUGGGGGGGGGCGGGUGGGGGGUGGUGAGGACUUCCCAGGGUGGGUGGUGAGGGGCCGCUGCUCCAGCUGGACCACAGGGACCCUAGUCCCACACCAUCCUCAGCUCCCCUGGAUGCGGGGCUCUCCCCUUCUGUGGACCGAAGACCCUCAGGGGUGCGGGGCAGUGUGGGUCCCGCCCUGGGCUCCAAGCUCACGGGGUGGUGGGGAGGAGGUGUGUGUACGUGGGAACUGGUGAUCCGUCGCUAAGCAGCUGGCCAGGCUGGUGUCCACGGAGCCAGCAGGCAGCUCUUGGGGUCUUGCAGAAGAUCAAUGGGGGCGCCUGGGGGCAGAGCACGGCCGGCACUUCUCGGAGGCCCCCCCACCAGCUGCUCCGAGCCGGGUGCACCCGCCCACGUGCUAGGUGAGCAGCCGGUCUCGCUCUGCUCGUCACACACCUUCCCCAAAGGUGGAGCCUGGCUCUGCGGGAACACUGUGGACGGGUGAGUCCAGAGGGGCCGAGGGGCUUCACGACAGACCACCACGGUGUCCCCCUCAGGCCCUGCACACCUCCUGACCUGCCAGGCAUCCUGGGGUCCAGCUCGACCGGGCCCUGGCUGGCUGUCUGCCCCUGGCCCCAUAAGUGCGGUUGCUGCGGGGGUCCUGGGCCUCCGUGUACCCCCCGGGCCCUCUGGGUACCCCCUCCACCUGCCAGCAGCCAGCAGCAGCCCCCCAAGUGUUGUACAGAGACUGAGCCUUCCACUCCGCAUUAGGCGCUGUAAACGCCUCUCUGCCCCUGGCGUCCUGCACGCGCAGGCCUCCCAGCGUGGCUGCAGGGGACGGCGUUGCCCCACAGGGGCUGCGUGUCCGGGAACAGGCUCCGGCUUCCCGGACAUCACUGCUUGCACGGUGCCUGCCCCAGCACCCCCAGGCCGGCCCUCCGCCUCCCACCCUGCUGCUGGCUGGGUGGNNNNNNNNNNNNNNNNNNNNNNNNNNNNNNNNNNNNNNNNNNNNNNNNNNNNNNNNNNNNNNNNNNNNNNNNNNNNNNNNNNNNNNNNNNNNNNNNNNNNACAGGCUCCGGCUUCCCGGACAUCACCGCUUGCACGGUGCCUGCCCCAGCACCCCCAGGCCGGCCCUCCGCCUUCCACCAUGAUGCUGGCUGGUUGAUAUUACCGUCCGGCAUUGUUCCCUCUGGGCCCCCAACUUGGCAAGGCCGGCCCCCCACCUUCCGCUGUGACUCUGGCCGGAGGAUACUGGGGUCCAGCACUGUUCCCUCUGGGCCCCCACUGGGCUCUAUUUUUUGCAGGAGGGAAUUCCGAGAAUCGUAGCCCCCGGCUUCACCGUGCGGUCCGUGCUUCCCCUCACCCCGCCCAGGGGUGGCUACACUGUUGUGACACCCCCCACUUGAAUGGCUGUGGUCAAGGCCCCCACGAUCCCCCCACAACACAGAUGGAAAAACUGAGGCCUGGAGUGCUGACAGGGCGGCCCGGGGGUGCCCGGCACUGCUGAUGUCCAGAGCCUCGGUGGGGCAGGACAGAGCUCAGGCUUGAGCAAGACUGCCGGGUCCCGGUGCUGGCUUGGGGUCCCCCUGCCUCCAGGAACCUCACACACUGGGAAACCAGGCAAUGGGAUUUCUCAAAAAUUCACACUUUGGUGGCAUCUCUCAGGAAGUUAGAUGGGUCUGUUCACUGGUUAAACCCAAAUAAAUUGCAGAGGGGAUUGGUGUCUAUGAAUUUUUAAAGUGACAUGUCUACAUUUAUCUGGCAUUUCUUUCACUUUGAUCCCUUUGUCUUCCUGCCUUCCUGUUUGGGGGCAGUGCAGCUGCGGGCCGGCCGGGCCUGAGCAGCCAGCGUACGCGGUCUGAGCGUUUGAUUCGCCAGCUGCAAACGCGAGAUGGAAUCCGGCCGUCUGCAGUCGUCAGGCAGGCAGGGAAGGGGCCCCGCCACGGGCCUCUGUGGUCUGUGGAAUUUACGGUGUUUGGAUUGCAGAGCCGCCGGGAGCAGCCCGUUUGUUUUUUAUUUUCUGACUCGAUGGAGACAAAGGUUUCUGCAGCUCUGAUGCUCCGAGACCCCUGCGCCACCCAUGGCAUUUUCAUCAGCUGUUACAGCCCAGGCCCUGUGGUCUGCCUCGUGUCAGCGAGGUGGGGCCUCAGGGAAGGUCGGCAGAGGAGGAGGCGAGGAUGUGUGGUGGAGGCGGUGUGGAAGAAGCGGAGGAAGACAGCUCAGCGCCCCCAGGGCCGCGACUGAACCCCGCGGCCUUGGGCCCCCCCGAGCAGCCCCAGGCGCUCUGCCCUCUCAGCCCGUUUCCCUCUUCUCUCGUGGGGUGUCUGGCAGCCGGUCUGCACCUGGGGAGGCCCUGGGUGUCUGUGAGAGAGGAUGUCAGGGCUCUUCUGGGAGAAGUUCAAGGCCCGUGUCCAUCUUGGGGCCUCUGGCCGGCCCACUGCCUGCGCCUGAGCAGCCGUGCAGGCGGGUGGGCACCUGUUGGGGGGUCUGGGCGCUCACAUGGAGGAGCCGCUGGUGGGCCUGGACCCCGCUCUCCUUCUUAUUUAUUAAUUAUUUUUUUAAGUUAAGCUAUUCUAAUUGGAGGAUAGUGACACUGUUGUGAUGGGUUUUGCGUGUGCCCCGGUGGGCGCCCCGCUUCACGCGUCCGCCUUGCACUG